rnacentral:rRNA from 1 species
UACGUAGGGGCCGAGCGUUGUCCGGAGUUAUUGGGCGUAAAGCGCGCGCAGGCGGCCUCGCGCGCCCGACGUGAAAGCCCCCGGCUUAACCGGGGAGGGUCGUUGGGGACGGCGGGGCUUGAGGGCGGGAGAGAGUGGUGGAAUUCCCGGUGUAGUGGUGAAAUGCGUAGAGAUCGGGAGGAACACCCGUGGCGAAGGCGGCCACCUGGGCCGACCCUGACGCUGAGGCGCGAAGGCGUGGGGAGCGAACGGG